UAAGCGAGGUAUGAAAUCUUAGGGCUUAACCCUGAAAUUGUGCUUUGAACUGGGAGACUAGAGUAUGGUAGAGGUAGUUGGAAUUUCUAGUGUAGGAGUGAAAUCCGUAGAUAUUAGAAGGAACACCAAUGGCGUAGGCAGACUACUGGGCCAUUACUGACACUGAGGCACGAAAGCGUGGGGAGCGAACCGGAUUAGAUACCCGGGUAGUCCACGCCGUAAACGAUGGAUGCUA
rnacentral:rRNA from 1 species